rnacentral:rRNA from 1 species
ACUCCUACGGGAGGCAGCAGUGGGGAAUAUUGCACAAUGGGCGCAAGCCUGAUGCAGCCAUGCCGCGUGUGUGAAGAAGGCCUUCGGGUUGUAAAGCACUUUCAGUCGUGAGGAAGGUAGUGUAGUUAAUAGCUGCAUUAUUUGACGUUAGCGACAGAAGAAGCACCGGCUAACUCCGUGCCAGCAGCCGCGGUAAUACGGAGGGUGCGAGCGUUAAUCGGAAUUACUGGGCGUAAAGCGCAUGCAGGUGGUUUGUUAAGUCAGAUGUGAAAGCCCGGGGCUCAACCUCGGAAUAGCAUUUGAAACUGGCAGACUAGAGUACUGUAGAGGGGGGUAGAAUUUCAGGUGUAAGCGGUGAAAUGCGUAGAGAUCUGAAGGAAUACCGGUGGCGAAGGCGGCCCCCUGGACAGAUACUGACACUCAGAUGCGAAAGCGUGGGGAGCAAACAGGAUUAGAUACCCUGGUAGGAUAGCG